rnacentral:rRNA from 1 species
UACGUAGGGUGCAAGCGUUGUCCGGAAUUAUUGGGCGUAAAGAGCUCGUAGGCGGUCUGUCGCGUCGGAUGUGAAAAUCCAGGGCUCAACCCUGGACCUGCAUUCGAUACUGGCGUGCUUGAGGACUGGAGAGGAGACUGGAAUUCAUGGUGUAGCAGUGAAAUGCGUAGAGAUCAUGAGGAAGACCAGUGGCGAAGGCGGGUCUCUGGACAGUUCCUGACACUGAGACACGAAGGCCAGGGGAGCAAACGGG